UAUACGGUAUUAUUGUGAGUUUUAUCGGCAAUUUGUAGCACAUAAUAACAACAGCCAGUUAUUCCGAGACUCUGAGAAAUAAGCUACUUCAACAUCUUCCCAUUUCAUCAAAGGGCAACCGUAGUAUUACAAAUCUAAUCAAAAUGGGAAUUUUGUAUUAUUUCUAUUUCCUUUUACCGAUUACGGAUGCUCUUCUGAUCGCAACAUGUAGUUUGCAACUGAAGGUAGCCAAAAUGUGGAAAGAGGAUCCUGCAAUGUAUCGGGUUCAUCACUACAGUUGGACUGAUAGACUUAUUACGUGGAGUAUUGUCGGAAUAUGCGUUGGGUCAUUUCACAUUCUUUUCCUUAUUAGCUGGUUCUUAUUCAGGAAAGAAUUACGUAAAGAAGAUACACAGAUCAGAAAAUUAAAAUUGUCGGUAUGUGUGCUAGAGAUUAUCCUAAUUAUACUUGUCCUAACAUCAAUACUUGUGCCCGGAGCGGUUCAAUGGCCAAAAACGUAUCGGGAAACAGAUUUUUCAAUGUACUCGAGCAUUUGCUUCAUUAUUGUUAAUAUUAUCUUAGCACUAACAUGUCGUUAAUACGUCAUGUAUAUUUCAUGAACUGCUAGUUGAUAUUUUAGCUGAAAUAAAGC